UACAAGGUGUUGAAAGCGUUCCACAGGGACUCUACAAGGUGUUGAAAGCCUUCCACAGGGACUCUACAAGGUGUUGAAAGCCUUCCACAGGGUCUCUACAAGGUGUUGAAAGCCUUCCACAGGGUCUCUACAAGGUGUUGAAAGCCUUCCACAGGGUCUCUACAAGGUGUUGAAAGCCUUCCACAGGGUCUCUACAAGGUGUUGAAAGCCUUCCACAGGGACUCUACAAGGUGUUGAAAGCCUUCCACAGGGUCUCUACAAGGUGUUGAAAGCCUUCCACAGGGUCUCUACAAGGUGUUGAAAGCCUUCCACAGGGACUCUACAAGGUGUUGAAAGCCUUCCACAGGGUCUCUACAAGGUGUUGAAAGCCUUCCACAGGGUCUCUACAAGGUGUUGAAAGCCUUCCACAGGGUCUCUACAAGGUGUUGAAAGCCUUCCACAGGGUCUCUACAAGGUGUUGAAAGCCUUCCACAGGGACUCUACAAGGUGUUGAAAGCCUUCCACAGGGUCUCUACAAGGUGUUGAAAGCCUUCCACAGGGACUCUACAAGGUGUUGAAAGCGUUCCACAGGGAUGCUGGCCCAU